GACGAAUGCUGGCUGCGUGCUUAACACAUGCAAGUCGAACGGUGAAAGGGAGCUUGCUCCCUGGAUCAGUGGCGAACGGGUGAGUAACACGUGGGCAACCUGCCCCUCACUCUGGGAUAACUCCGGGAAACCGGGGCUAAUACCGGAUACGACCUGGUGCGACAUCGCACCGGGUGGAAAGAACUUCGGUGAGGGAUGGGCCCGCGGCCUAUCAGCUUGUUGGUGGGGUAACGGCCCACCAAGGCGACGACGGGUAGCCGGCCUGAGAGGGCGAACGGCCACACUGGGACUGAGACACGGCCCAGACUCCUACGGGAGGCAGCAGUGGGGAAUAUUGCGCAAUGGGCGAAAGCCUGACGCAGCGACGCAGCGUGAGGGACGAAGGCCUUCGGGUUGUAAACCUCUUUCAGCGGGGACGAAGCGAAAGUGACGGUACCCGCAGAAGAAGCACCGGCUAACCACGUGCCAGCAGCCGCAGUAAUAC
rnacentral:rRNA from 1 species